rnacentral:piRNA from 1 species
UCACCCUGACAGAUGAAGAACCGGUU